UCCGUAGGUGAACCUGCGGAAGGAUCAUUCGCACAUAUGAUUCCAAACCCAUAUACUUUCGCGGUGUUGGCGGUCACACGCCAAUUCCCUGAAGUACUGCGUCACCCUCUCGGGGGGGGCGUCUUUUCUUCUUGGUCCCACACUCGUGGUACUGCCGCGGUUCUCCGCGGUCUGCGAUUCUGUCGCUCCAUUACACCUACCACUUGCAGCGGUGGAUGUCUUGGCUCGAGUAGCGGUGAAGGACGCAGCGAGCUGCGAUACGCACAGCGAUGUGCGGAAUUCCGUGAACUGCAGAGUGUCGAACGCAUAGCGCCUAGCGGCUCUCCGCUAGGUACGUCUGGCUCGGUGUCUUGUUCUUUUUAUCCCCCGCGGACCUCGGUCCGUAGGGACGCUGCGCGUGCCACUUCUGUUAAUUCGAGGUGGCAUGUUGGGAGUGCUCGGGUUUGCACAAGAGUCGCUCACAAGCGAGAACGUCCGGCUUCGGUUGGUGCUCUUUGUAGGACUCUCGUCGGCCUGAGUUUUGCGAGAUUCAUUUCGCACCCCUCUUGGACCCGACCUCAGACUGGGUUACCCGCUGAAUUUAAGCAUAUCAAUAAGCGGAGGAA
rnacentral:rRNA from 1 species